AGGUUUUCUCACCCUCCGCCUCUCUCGGAUUUCCAAACCCUCCGCAAACCCCUCCGCCUCUCUCAAACCCUUCCCCAUUUCUCGCUCUUGCCGCGAAGGAUGGAAAGAAAUCGACUGCGGGCGACCCUUUACUGUGGGUGGUAUUUCCGAUCAUUCGACAGAUACCGCCACGUCGUUCUCCAUAAUUAUGGAGAAAAUGCUGUGGCUUACUUUCAUUUCAGUUCGGUUUUAUCGGAUUUAGGUAUACCUGUUUCAUGUAGUCUUUCAGGUAUACGUGCUAUUACUGAUCUUUUCGCAAGAUUGCCCGCAGCCAGCAUGAAGUGGACACAGUGGAAGCCAUUUUGGAUCCGAUGGGUCAAGGUUUGAUGUCGUUCAGUGGGAGGGUUAAUUUCCCAACCAACCAGGUGAGAAUGUUUAGUCAGAUAUGAUUGUCAAUUAUUUUUUGAAUGAUUUCAUGAUUAAGAGGCUCAGACUCAAUCGUUUUUUUUUUUUUUGGUGGUAAAGGUAAAAAGUAUUAUAACUUAGGACGAGAAUACAGGACCGGCUCCGUCGUUCCUGUUGCAGAACUUCCCGGAUGGCGCCGGCCAUUCGGACCGACUAUCCGGACCGACUUGAAAGUUCUGCAAUAAGAAUUGCAACGACGGAGUCUGAGCCUCUUAAUCAUGAAAUCAUUUAAGAAAUAACUGAUAAUGAUAUUUGGCUAAACAUUCUCAGCCGGUUGAGGAAAUUAACCCUCCCGGUGACCGAAAUCAAACCUUGACCCGUCGGAUGUCCGUCCGGCGCAAGAGAAGAUCUGAUUAUUCUUGCAAAAAUCUACUCUUUGGGCACGCCCCCUCUCCCUGCCCAGGACCUCCGCUCCCUCUUCCUGCCCCCUCUUCCUGCCCCAGGACCUGCCGCUGGCCCCUCAACAGCAGGCUCACCAGUAGGCUCAGCAGCUGAGUCAAGAGUUUGGACAUUGACAAAAAGUAAUCCGUGCUUAACGAGUCAGCAGUGGGUUCUAUUUGUUUUUUUUAUAUGUAGAAGUAAAUGCAAUUUGUGAAGGUUUUAUUUGUAUUUUUAUUUGUAGAUAUGGUUCACACUUGUGAGGAAAUGCAAUUUGCGAAUUAAUUUGAAUGCUGCCUAAUUCACUAAUUUAUUUCUUGUCUAUCUUAGGUGGAAUUGAUUGAUGGGCCGACUGAUAAAUUUCUUCUGUCUAUCUUUGGGAGAAUUGAUUGAUGAGCCGAAUGAGAAUUUGCUUAUUGCUGUGUAUGCUAAUGAAUGGUUUCUUGCCCAAAACCAUUACUUGCAAUGAUUUGCUUAUACUAUUUGGACAGAUUGUGCAUUGCUUAUUGCUUGGGUGCUUGUAGUAAGAAGUCGGAACAAAAUUGCUGAAACCAUAUGACUUCUUACUACAAAAGCAUAAUCAGCACGCUUCGGGCAAAACUAUGGUUUUGUAAAAGACAAAUUCUGGCUGAUCUUUUCAGGCAUUCAAACCUACAGCUGAUAAUUCGACUAAAAAACCUAUAGCUAAAUAAAUCUUCUAGUUUGUGGCAGAGUAUCUGUACAUUAGUUCAUUGGUGUUAUUUGAUAUAUAAAAACCAAAAGUGCGUGAAGACUGUUUGGCUGCAGUUGCAUUUCAAGUUUUUUAAAGAUGAUUGGCUGCUAGGAACAUGAGUUUCCGAACUGUUUCCUCGGAUCAAGGGCGCCGGAUACUACUGGCAUGGUUGCUAGUUCAGAUUUGAAAGUUGAGGUUAUGGAGGAGAAGUUACUUGGAGAUUUAACUCGUGAAAUAUGUGCACUCCUCUCUGCGAUAGCUUCCCUGGCAUUAAAUACAGGGCUUCCUUCACUAGAACAAUUGGGGCAUGCCAACCGCACUGACAUGUCUUCUUUGCAGGAGUUGGACAUCUACGCACAAAGCUCUAUGGUUAGGUAUAAAUGAUGAGCAGAUUUUUGUUAUUCCCUGUUCUUUGUGUGAAUUGGUAUAUUCAUAUUUGAUUCUUUUCACUCUUCUAAUCCAUUUACAGUUUCCUUAUGAAUCACAAAGGUCUGGCUCUUCCUGUAUUACAGAUGUGUUUAGAAGUUUUCUGUGACCAAAGUUUCUUCUUUUUGUGCUACUGUGAAGUUUCUUCUUUUUGUGCUACUGUGAUUCUUCUAGCUAUAUCAACCAAUAAUGUGGAACUUCAUCAAUUUGUCGCUAAAGAUCUUUUUUCAGCUGUAAUUCGUGGUUUGACUUUAGAAUUUGAGAUGCUUGAGAAUGUGGAAAUUGGCGAGCAGAAACAGAGGGAUGAAGCUUACAAAGAAGAAAACUGGAAUCUAUGAUGACAAAUUCAGUGAUGACCCUGCAUCGGAGAAGAAAAUACUUACACAAUGCAGAAAAUCAGAGUGUUGCGAUUGGAGAAUCACAGGAAAGCAGGGUUGUCUUGACAGAUACUGAAAGAUUGUUUCAGGCCUCGAGGUUGAUGAAGGUUGAGCAUUUCUUGGGGAUAAAGCGGAAGCCUGAGCCUAGUAACUUGGGAGUACCAAAGAAGCCGAAAACUUGAAGUGUUAUUGACAGGUCUUCUAUUAUUUGUUGAGUUCGAGCAACUUACUAUUGGGGCUGGAAGUAACUUCAGGCUCUGGGCGUCGAUUGCAGCUUCACAUUACAUUUUUCUAUAUACCUUUUAGCUUUAUCAACUAUGAAGAUCAAAAUAUAGAUGCUCUUGUUGCUUUUGAAGAUGUACUUAGACCUGUAGCCAACAAGCCAGAACCAUUUUUUUUGAGAAUUCUUUGUUGCCUGAGAAUUGAAUGGCACCUUUAUUAGUGAUCUGCUUCAUUGUUACUGUUCCUAGAGAUGGUUGUACCUGUUCCUAGAGAUUGUUGUCUAGAUUAUGUGAUUCGCAGGUGGCUAUUUCACAGAUGCUACUCUUGCUGUUAGACAAACGACUGAGCAAGUGAAAUGCUCUACAUGUGUUUAUGGAGAGAUAAUGGCCAUC